GAAGGAUCAUUAUUGAGAUUCAUUACCACACCUGUGAAUUUAUUCAUUCGUUGUAGCGCUUCGGCGUUACAACCCAUUAAAACUACUAUUACAUUUUGUCUAAAAUCAAAAAAUCCAAAAUUAUCAAUAACGGAUCUCUUGGUUCUCGCAUCGAUGAAGACCGCAGCAAAGCGCGAAAGAUAAUGUGAAUUGCAGACGUGAAUCAUUGAGUUGUUGAACGCACAUUGCACUUUUCUUAACGGAAAAGUAUGCUCUGGCGAGCGUCAUUUCUCUCUCCACACCUAGUGGGUAUUGAGGCUGUACACAGCCCUUAAAAAGAUCAUGCGUAUGUGUUAACCACAAUGUGCGCUUUAAAAUCUAAUUUUGACCUCGUCUAGAGCAAGAGUACCCGCUGAACUUAA
rnacentral:misc_RNA from 1 species